UCAGUGAUCAGGUUUCAAUUCAUAUGUUUAUUCCGAUUCUUAGAAGUAUUUUUCUUAUUUUGCAGAAGGGUUCUACCAAUUCGUUACGAUGUCAAAACCCCAUUUAACCAUUCAUUACUAUGUGGAAAUUUCAUUUGCUAUCUUGACUGCAGAAGUUCCGGAAGAUUCGUAAAGUCAGUCGUAAAUUGAAGUCACAAGUCAGUCUCCUUCUAGGACUUGAACGACGAGCAUAUAAGGAUUAGCAUGUUCGAUGUAAAAUAAGUAUUCGUGCUUUUGAAUAUCUAGGUUUACAAAGACUACUGAGAAUGAUGACCAAAGAAUGCCGCUUACUCAUAGACAUGAGUGCAAACGAACGAGGCAGUAUUCUCGUGUUAGAGAGUGCAUUCACGUAUGAUUUGAUGGAGAAGAACAUAUCACCAAUUAAUUUUAGCUUAAGUGUUUUGGUCACCACAGUUUUAUGUCAAUAAAUAUUACUCCGCUAGUA